CUCUCUCUUCCUCUCUCUCUCCCUAGCCCUUCUCCCUGCCUCUCAAAAAUAAAAUAAAUACACAUUUAAAAAGGCGGUGCCCUCCUGGAGCCUUCCAAUGCCAGCCAUUUGAAUCACCACCCACUUUGCCCAGAUGUAAGGCCUGCAGGGAGAAAACUCAGACGUCAUCCGGACUUGGUGGGUCGUGCUGGGACUGAGGGUGAGCCUGAGGCUCACUGCCUGGAGAAAAGACGAGGUUCUUAUACAGAUCCUAAAGCUACCACAGCUGCGUUGGUGCCUGUUCUAGAACAGAAGUUCUCCAAGGGCGGUCACAGGCCAGCGGGAUCAGCAUCAGCUAUGCUAGGGGUGGGACCUGGCAAUCUGUGAUUUAACGAGCCCUGCAGGAGAUUCCAAUGUGCGCCUAAGCAUGAGGGCGCUGCUCAAGACCUGUGCUUUCAGGAAUCACUAACCACAUAAGCCUGUUUCAAUUUAAAUUAGUCAAAUUUAAAGGAAACUAAACAUUCAAGCUCUUCCGUCACACCAGCCACCUUUCAAAUGUUCAGUCGCCACCCAAUUGGACAGCAUAGAUCUAGAACAUGGCCAUCAUCACAGAAAGUUCUAUUGGGUUGCGAUACUCUAGAACCUUGCUACUUCCUGUGGUCCACAGACAUCAGCAUUGGCAUCACCUAGGAGUUGCUUAGAAAUGCAGAACUCAGGCUCCAUCCCAGAACUUCUGAUUCAGAGUCUGCUUUUUUGCCAGAAACCCAGGUGCCAGAUUGCCCCGCAGCUUUCAGUUUGGCUGAACGAUACAAAAUUGUUGAUAAUUCAACUGUUUUUUGACCUAUAAAGCCGCAAACAGCAAGAUCCUUCCCAAAACAGGAGUAGAAGAAGUGGGAGUGUUUUUCUAGGACCAUCAGAUAUGGGUGAUAAGACUCAGCCUGAUAAGGUGAUAAGAUGCCUGAACACCAUCCAGUAAGGUGAACAUGAACAUUGGAAUGGUGACCUUACGCCAGGUACUGUAAAACCUUGAGGGUGUGCCCAGGGGAUUAAUGAUGCCAGAGGACUCCCCUGAUUGAUGGCUUAUUUGAAGGUGGCCUCCCCUCCCACCCACCUCACUCCAAGCUCCGCUAGGGAGGAAAUGAAAGCAUAGCCCCUCAGGGAGCUCAGCCCUUUAUAGCCCUCCGCAAAUGUGUGGGAUUCUGGCUCAAACACUAGGGACAGUAAACCACUAUAAUCUCCUUGUCACAGUAGGGGACAUGCCUGAGACAAAUGUGGCGUCUGUUGCCCCACUCCGAGCUUCUCUCUUUCUUCUCAAAAGUACCAUUCUUACUCCUCUUUGGCUCAAGGAUACAUUCCUCUGCUCUGGGAAGGAAGGAAGGAAGGAAGGAAGGAAGGAAGGAAGGAGGAAGGAAGGGGAGGGGGACAUUCAGACAUCCUAUUUUGUCUGAAUGAGACAAAAAGAGAGGGAGGGAGAAAGAAAGAAAGAAAGAAAGAAAGAAAGAAAGAAAGAAAGAGGAAGGG